rnacentral:rRNA from 1 species
AGCCUCAAGAAAAAUUUGAGGUGUAACCUGCCCAGUGAUUUCAAAUUAAAAAAUAAGAAAAAUAUUUAAAAGAAAUUAAAAGGACGCGGUAACCUUGACCGUGAUAAUGUAGCAUAAUCACUCGCCAUUUAAUUGAUGGAUAGUAUGAAUGGUUGAACGAAUAUUUCACUGUCUUAAAUAGAAAACAUAAAAAUUAAAAUAAUAGUAAAGAUGCUAUUUAAAAUUGUAAGACGAAAAGACCCUAUAGAGCUUAACUACAUCAUUUUUACACAAAGAAUUUAAAAAUAAAUCCUUUUACUAAAAAUGAAGGUAGUUUAGUUGGGGCGACUGUCUUCUAAAAAAAACGAAGAUAAACAAAAUAAUUAAAAGUAUUUACUGUAUAAUACAUUAAUUUAACAGUUAUAAAAGUAGGUUAAAAUGACCCGUUAAACAAUAAAAAAAUUCUUAACGAUCAAUAAAUAAAAGCUACCUUAGGGAUAACAGGAUAAUUUCAUUUUAGAGACCUUAUCGAAAAUGAAGUUUGUCACCUCUAUGUUGAAUUAAGAUAUCCUGAUAGUGCAGAAAUUAUCAAAGGUAGGUCUGUUCGACCUUUAAAAUCUU